GACGAACGCUGGCGGCGUGCCUAAUACAUGCAAGUCGAGCGAUGAAGAUUGGUGCUUGCACCAAUUUGCAGAGCAGCGAACGGGUGAGUAACGCGUGGGGAAUCUGCCUUUGAGUGGGGGACAACAUUUGGAAACGAAUGCUAAUACCGCAUAACAACUUUAAACAUAAGUUUUAAGUUUGAAAGAUGCAAUUGCAUCACUCAAAGAUGAUCCCGCGUUGUAUUAGCUAGUUGGUGAGGUAAAGGCUCACCAAGGCGAUGAUACAUAGCCGACCUGAGAGGGUGAUCGGCCACAUUGGGACUGAGACACGGCCCAAACUCCUACGGGAGGCAGCAGUAGGGAAUCUUCGGCAAAGGGCGAAAGUCUGACCGAGCAACGCCGGGUGAGUGAAGAAGGGUUUCGGAUCGUAAAACUCUGUUGGUAGAGAAGAACGUUGGUGAGAGUGGAAAGCUCAUCAAGUGACGGUAACUACCCAGAAAGGGACGGCUAACUACGUG
rnacentral:rRNA from 1 species